rnacentral:rRNA from 1 species
UACGUAGGGUGCGAGCGUUAAUCGGAAUUACUGGGCGUAAAGCGUGCGCAGGCGGUUUUGUAAGCCAGAUGUGAAAUCCCCGGGCUUAACCUGGGAAUGGCAUUUGGGACUGCAAGGCUUGAGUGCGGCAGAGGAGACUGGAAUUCCUGGUGUAGCAGUGAAAUGCGUAGAUAUCUGGAGGAACACCGGUGGCGAAGGCGGCAUCCUGGACCGGCAUUGACGCUGAGGAGCGAAAGCCAGGGGAGCAAACGGG